ACUGGUGGGUCUCAUUUCUUUUCUUGGUCACCUUUAUUUGUCUUUGAUGUUCAUCUCAUGGCUUCUCCUUUAGAAAAGUUGUCAGAGUUGGGGUCUGUUGAUCCAGAGUUCCCUAUCCCGACUCCCGCUAGUUCUACCAUGGAGGUGCUCGAGGUCUAUCAGACUCUUGGUAUGGUGAAGACAGUUUUGGAAGUUGAUGACCUCAAGUAAAUCCGAAGGGAAUAUGAGAUUCUGGACAGUGUGGUCCUAGAUGUGCCCAAUCUUUUGGAUAGGUUCACAUCCUAUCAAGGGAACUGGGUAGCCAUAUAUAAGGAGGCUCUGAGAGUUGGCUGCAAGCCCCACUUCCAGAUGUCUUUGCCGAAUUGCUCUGGUGGUAUUGGCUCUAUCCUCUCUAACUUGUCCCCAAUACUUGGUGGACAAUAGUUGGAUUUUUCUGGUUUCUUCUGCAUCAGAGGGUGUCUCUUCAAGCGAAAAUGUUUUGGAUGCUCUUUCAGAUGAAAGUACAUCCUCGAAGUAGGAGUUAGUGGUAUGCUUUCCCCUGGAAGGGCAUCACUAAUUUUCCUUCUGGUCUUUCCUGCAUCCAUG
rnacentral:lncRNA from 1 species